GGAGGAGCUUGUCUCGGGCGCUCGCUCUCCCCAACACAGGUAAAGUUUUACGAGAUUUUGCUAUUCCACGCUGUACGGUCUUCUGGAGACGUCGUGCUUCGCUGAACAACUCUGAAACAUGGAGCCCUACAUUCGGUACAAUCCUGCCAAUUCCUCCCACUUUGAGGACAUAAACCUCGACCUCCCGCCCUUCAUGUUUUUGGGAAUCCUCGUCAUGGUUAUCCUGAUGCUGUGCACCAAAAUUCUCAUUGGACGUCCGUCGGCUGAAAAGGCUCACUAUGAAAAGAACCACUUUGAAAAGAAUCAUUAUGACAAGAAUCAUAAUGGGAAGAUGGUGAUCAAUGGAGACCAUUGCCUCAUGCCUUGAAACUUCUUGUCUUCUUCGUUACAUCGAUCUUCCUACUGUGGGCUAGGAAGAACUCGAAAUGCUCACAGACAAAAUUGAACAAAACUAUCUUCCCACUUUUGAAUAGGAGGCAAUGAUCGCGGAAUUCUGUCGGUAUCCUGUGUUCUAAGGACGCAGCUGGUUCACCAAAACAGUUGCCAGAGUAAUUUGUGGUAUAGAAAGAUUCUACUGGAUGUCUAGAUGCCUAAAUGUUUUUUUUUUCUCUACAUAGCUAGAACACAAACUAUGCUCUCUGUUUUAUAAAGAUUAAAGUAUUUUUAUCUAAUCAUAUUUUUUAUUUGUGUACUUGAAAAAAGAUAUUAUUAGUUAAAACUCCAAGGAAAACUUUCAUCAAGUUUACUGUUUAAUUACUCGUAACUUUCAAAAGAAUUUUUAUAAAAGAAAAUUAUUGUUUUCAACUCUAGUAGACGUAAGGUUUAGAAACCUUGUUUUCAUUAAGUUUAUAACUUCUGUGCUUCAUAGAAACUUUAGUAUUUUUUAUCCAGAGGUAGAUUAUCAAACAUUAAUUUCUGUUCAUUCUAAAUUUCUAAGACGUUUUGCCACAUAAGUAGAUUACUGCUGUACUUUAUUAAAAUUUAAAUUUUAAAGAGAUUGUUGUGCUCUAUUUUAUUGUUAAUUGAGGGCCCAAUAUCUUGCUGUUACAAAGACUAGAUAAUUUUUUUAUUAUCUUAGAAAUCAUUUCUAAUAACUUGAUUUUGCAUCAAUAUUUUUUCCACAUUCUAUUUCGUUACAAAUAAGUUCAAAUAGUUUUAUUUCUAUAUUUUUUUUUUUUUUGAAAUUUUAAAGACACUGUUACAGAGAUAAGUAUUUUUUUUUUUAAAUCAUAUUGUUUAAAAGUUUUUAUUACAAAAGAAGUGUUUUGUUUUUGUUGGUAUUAUGUACAAUUUUAUAUUGAUUAUAUCUUAAACACUUUACUGAAUGAUAGUCUCAUGUAUUCAAGCUCUAUAUUUUCAGUCAAACAAAUUGAUUUUCUUUGGAUUUCUGAUUGUAGCCAUCUUUUACAAUAUAUAGUGAAUUUAAAUACCCAUUCAUGAAUUUCUGUCUCACAAUGCAUAAGCCCACAAAUGCAUGCAGACAAUAUGCAUACAUUUCUGUUAUGUAUUCUGUAAGCAACAUUUUUUAAAGAAUAUCAACUGAAUAUGCAUUUG